rnacentral:rRNA from 1 species
UACGUAGGGACCAAGCGUUGUCCGGAUUUAUUGGGCGUAAAGAGCUCGUAGGCGGCCCUCCACGUCGGAUGUGAAAGCUCAGGGCUCAACCCUGAGAUGCCAUUCGAUACGGGAAGGCUAGAGGUAGGUAGGGGAAAGUGGAAUUCCUGGUGUAGCGGUGAAAUGCGCAGAUAUCAGGAGGAACACCGGUGGCGAAGGCGGCUUGCUGGGGCAGUUGCUGACACUGAGGCGCGACAGCGUGGGGAGCAAACAGG